UGUAACCUGCGGAAGGAUCAUUACACAUAUACCGUAGGGUAACCUGCGGAAGGAUCAUUACCGAGUGUAGGGUUCCUAGCGAGCCCAACCUCCCACCCGUGUUUACUGUACCUUAGUUGCUUCGGCGGGCCCGCCAUUCAUGGCCGCCGGGGGCUCUCAGCCCCGGGCCCGCGCCCGCCGGAGACACCACGAACUCUGUCUGAUCUAGUGAAGUCUGAGUUGAUUGUAUCGCAAUCAGUUAAAACUUUCAACAAUGGAUCUCUUGGUUCCGGCAUCGAUGAAGAACGCAGCGAAAUGCGAUAACUAGUGUGAAUUGCAGAAUUCCGUGAAUCAUCGAGUCUUUGAACGCACAUUGCGCCCCCUGGUAUUCCGGGGGGCAUGCCUGUCCGAGCGUCAUUGCUGCCCAUCAAGCACGGCUUGUGUGUUGGGUCGUCGUCCCCUCUCCGGGGGGGACGGGCCCCAAAGGCAGCGGCGGCACCGCGUCCGAUCCUCGAGCGUAUGGGGCUUUGUCACCCGCUCUGUAGGCCCGGCCGGCGCUUGCCGAACGCAAAUCAAUCUUUUCCAGGUGACCUCGGAUCAGGUAGGGA
rnacentral:rRNA from 1 species